CCGGAAAUACAUGAGAUCCGCCCACUUUGGAAACUUCUCUGCAACACGUGGCUUUGUUUAUCAACUUGAGCGUUGCAAAACCCCUUGGAGAGAAGAGCAGAGGGAACAAAACUUUUCAUGUCAUGGAAAGUGGGUCCAGAGAAGGGGAUGACAGAGAGAGAGAGCAGUGUGGUGUGUUGGCCCUGCGUGUUAGGAGAGGCUGUGAUCAUGACUGGCAGUAGAGAGACAACAAUGAAGGAAAGGAAUGGAAGGGCCAGAGACAAGAGCUGGGAUGGUAAUGCAUGUCACAUCGAUGAGGCCACGCCAAGAGAAGUUGGGAAUGGGGUCAGCUCCACAUCCUCUCCCAGUAUCUCUGCUUGGGGCUCUAACUCCAAUUUUCACUGCUAUCAUUUGUUUGGUCUUUUACUGUCUCUGUAUUCGUCUUUUCUUUUCCCCUAAUCUGCCUUUGCUUCACUGUGACUAUUUUUCCCUCUACUUCUCUACUGUUUCUACAAUGGACACUAUUCAUCUGUCACCCUUGUCUUUGUCUCACUCUUCUCUGAGUCUCUUCAAACUCUUUACAAUUCACUAGUAUGUUCUGGACUCUAAACUUUUUCUUGUAAAGGGAAUGAAGCCAGGAUUAACCAGGGGCCCUUUAAAGCCUGUUUGUGCUACACAGAUAAUAGUACGGUAUGAGGCUGUCACUUUUUAUUCUAAAUAAAAAUUAGAUUUGUAAUCAUAUGUUCAGAUUCCAAAUUUAAAGUGUAUAAGCACAACAGCCCAUGACUUGUAGUCAGUUUAAAAUGUUCUGUUCGUCUGACCCAUUGCAUGUCCUGUUGUCUUAGUAAGCUAAGCUAUAGUUUUUCUCUUUGCUAAUGCAAAAUGGAGAAAACUAGCCAGCCACGCUGAACCAAAAUCAUCUAAGAAGUAAUGUGAAGAAGAAUUUUGAAUCCAACAACAUGGAUGGGAAAAUCAUGGAUAAAGUUAAUGCUAUUUGCUGACUUAGAAAAAUUCAACUGCCUUACAGUGAAGUUGUCACCAGUGGCAGCAGAGGCCUUAAUUGAACAGAACAACGUUAAUACUACAGCAGAGUUUAGGACUAGGCUGCAUAGGUUGUGUUCGAAUUAAUUCGAGCAAAUUAAGUUUUAGUUCUCAUGUGUUUCAACUUGAUUUUUAGAAAAUGUGACAGCCCUAGUAUCAAAUAAGCAAAUAUGCAGUGGUGGAAAGUAACAAAGUACUAUUACUCAAGCACUUUUGAGACUUUCUUAGUCCUCUACAUUUGUUUGUGUUUGACAGUUAGAGUUGCUAGUUAUGUCUGACUUAGCUUAAAGACUGGAAGCAGAGGCAAACAGCUAGCCUGGCUUUCUCUCUUCAUCCAUUCCGUUCAUUGCGAAAUAUCUUGUUUGUUUAAUUCAGACAAAAACAGAAAUGUAAAAAUGACCACUUGUGGUUUUAGGGGCGUUUGGGAGUUAUGUGCUGUAACUAUUUCCUGGUGAACAACCUAGCAGUGACUUCCCAGAGCCUUGUCAUCACAGUGAGGUUGCCAGACAACCAACUCUAUAGCCGGACAUUCUCUAAAAAGAAGUGUUGGGCGGAUGGAUAAACUGUUGUUUGUCAAAUAAUUUUUUAACUUUGAACAGAGCCAAGCUAGAUGUUACCCCUGCUUAAAUGCUAAGCUAUCUGGCUACCAGCUCCAACUUUGUAUGUAAUGCGCAGGCAUGUGACAGUGGUAUCUUCUCAUCUCGUUCUUGGAAAGAAAGCGAAAAAGUGCAUCUCCCAAAAUGUUUAACUAUUCCUCUACAUCAUCUGUAAUAAUAAUACAAUAAUAUAUAUAAAGUAACAGUAUACCACCAUGACAGGAACAGAUUUGUAUAGUGAGAAGUUGUCUUUUGAUGCCUAAGAGCAUUUUGCAAAAAAAUGAAUGCAGGAUUUUAACUUGUAACAGAAUAUUUCUUAUAGUAUGCUAUUUCUACUUUUACUUAAGAAUCUGAAAACAUUCUUUCACACCACUGUUGAUAAGCUACACCUGCAUUGUUUAUUCUACAUGUACACUCCGUCACACCCACAGAGUGCCAGACGGGUGGCAUUAGUCUGGGUGGGCGACACCAAGGUGUCCAAAAUCUCUCUGCAGCCCACUGCUCCACUGAGCUGAACAGAGGAGCUUAGGAAGAAAGAAAACAGUGCUAAUCAUUACCCACACCCUCACCCACCGCCCUUCCCUUUCCUCUUUGCUCCUUCCCACCUCCUUCCUCUCAUUAAAAUAAGUCCGAGAGAGCUGGCCUGCAUACUGAUGCAUUGUUAAGCACUCUUAAUUGAACUUGAGGAUUCUUAAUGUGCCAUCAUUCAAAUGCUUAGUCUGUGUGCUCUCGGCUGCUUAGUCCGAAUUGCCCUCUGUGCUGCAUUUAUCUCCACCUCCUCCACUGCACGUCCAUUCAGCUUUUGGUGGAAGGGAGGAAGGGUUCUGUGGCAGAUUUGUAAUGUGCGGGCAUGAGGGAAAAGGACAUUGACUCUUUAUACAACAGAGGGAACAAAAGCGUUCACUUGAUGCCAACUGGGAGUUUCAUCAUCAGCACAGGAGAGAGAGAGGGCAAAGUGAGAAAGCGAGAGAGAAAGGAAGCAGUGGGAAAGAGCGAGAGAGUGAAAAAAAGUUAUUGAACUGGAUGGGGCAGGGUGACAUCAAUAGCAUCCCAAGCAGGGCCACAAAUUAGCCGGGCGAGAAGCGGCACAGCAUGGGAGCAGACAGCUGGGGCCCCGCGCAAUGCCACCAGGGGAUUAGCAGGGUUUCAGGCUCUGACACAGAGGGGAUGAGCGUCAUAGGCAGAAUAAAGAGCAACGCGGGGAUUAGAGAGCUUCCCAACACUCCACCAACACUCAUGAAGGGCUUAAAGGGCUAUAGAUAUCAUUAAUGAAUGGACAGAGAGAGAGGGAAAGAGAGAGAAGGUUGGGGGGUUGUCUUUUUGCUUUUAUUCACCCUGACCCCCCUACAUUGCCACUCAGAUCAUACAUUCCACGUACAUAUAUUAAAAGUCAAUGAGAGGCGGGCCAAAGAGCCAAACUGCCCGUGUGUUGAUCAUUCAAAAUAACACACAGCACACCAGACAGAGAUGGCCGGCUCUGACUGGUGUAUGUUCAAUUCAUGCCACCCUCUGAAGAUUAGGCCUGAAUUAUUCAUCUGAAAGUCGUGGUGAAAAUGCCAAACAUAUAUUUGAACGCUUUUGUGUGAGUAUACUGGAACAACAAGAUAGUAUUCAUUGUGGUGUGCAGGUGGGUGUGCUGUUGGGAUACAUGUAGGUAUCAAAUUCUGCAUUCAGAUGCUGGGUGUGGGGUGAUUUGAGGGGCCACAAGGCUGUGUCUUGUUUUAUAAAAAGGAAAUUGCUGAGUUUUCUCUUAUAAACAGACCGUGCCUUCAGAUAAGGACAGCCCCAACAGCCUGUCUACACAACCACUGCAGGGAUUGGCACCAAGAUAACCUUUGUUUUUGUAACUCGCAACAUACCAAAGAUGAGACAAACUCAUGGACCUAAUGUGAUUUUGGAGAGUGCCACACAUAACUGAAAGUUUGCAGAAUGUCAGCACGAUCUGUGAACUUAAAAAUACCCCCAUGCAGCCUUUUCCAUGAUAAUGAUAUUGAGCCUCCGAGCCAAAUAUGAUAUCCUGAACAGGAAGGCAGGGGAGAAGUACGCCUGUUGUUUAGGAACAUGGAGUUAUCAUCGUACCCCUCCUCCACCUUCUCCUCCCCGCCAGAGCUCUGUGUGUAGCACUAAUGGAGUCUUUAUCAUGAAAGAGUUAACUACUUAUCACUGGUUCGCUGCUACGGAUUGCUGAAGGGGCAGAAUGCUCUUUGAUGAACUUCAGUCAAAGUUUAAUGAAAGCAUAUUUGCGUCCACGGUAAGGCCAUGGCUUGCUCCUUUAGUAGAAUCUCAGUCUGUGUGUACAGGAUGGGUGUUUUGGGAUGGAAGGUGCUGUAUAAAAUGCAAGCCCAUGACGGAGCUCUGUUUGUCUGCUUGUGUGUGUGUGUGUGUGUCAAUCCAUCAGAAAUAGAUACACAUGGUCAUCGAUUUUGUCACGUCUGAGGAUAAAACAGAUAAUAAAGAUCCUAUGUGGAGCCUUUCUGUUCAUUUUCUUCUUCACAGCGUGGACUUCCCUUCAGCGCUCUCAGUGUGCCCAGACGACCCACAUCCAAGUUGUUUUGGAAAUUAAUCAUUUGGUGCACUGGAGUCCCUGCCUCCCACUGUGUACAAACAUAUAAACUUGAAUACUGCUGUGUCAGAGAAGCCACACCUUGUCCUUGUGAACAGUAUCCCACCAUUGUCCUUAGAGAUCCCCUGAGAUCCCCAGGAAGGGUGUGUGUCUGUGUGUGUGUGCCCCUCAUUUCUCUAGCCUCUGAAUGAACAAAGAGUGUAUAACCUGUUGUAAUAUGCCUGAGGAUAAAAGAAUAUAAUACUCUGUA